UACGAAGGGUGCGAGCGUUAUUCGGAUUUAUUGGGCGUAAAGGGUUCGUAGGCGGGAGAUCAAGUCAAGUGUGAAAUAUCCGGGCUUAACCUGGGAAGUGCAUUUGAAACUGUUUUUCUUGAGUGUUGAAGAGGGUGGUGGAAUUGCUGGUGUAGGAGUGACAUCCGUAGAGAUCAGCAGGAACAUCGGAGGCGAAGGCGGCCACCUGGUCAAUCACUGACGCUGAGGAACGAAAGCAUGGGGAGCAAACAGG
rnacentral:rRNA from 1 species